GAGCAGCAAGAUUAAAAGUAGAAGAGGUUUUGGCUGGGCUGCACCAGACUCCCGGCUGCAUCUCGGGGGACAGCAGCGAGGCGACAGCCCCCGGGACGAUGGGCAAGGAGGUGUCGCAAGCCCCCAAGAGGAAACGCCCGUGGAUUUGUGCAUGCGUGAUUCUCUUCCUGAUUGUGUUGGGGCUGGGAGCUGCUCUGAUCUAUGUGACCUUCUUCAUGCUAGCCAAGUGUCAGGCGGCAGAGGACAGGGUGAAGUCGGAGCUGGCCGACUGCAGAAACCAGACGAGCCUCCUGCAGCUCAACAUCAGGGCCCAGAGGAACACCAUCGUCCAGCUGGAAGCCCAGGGGUCAGAACUGGAGCAAAGGGAGCGCCGUGAGUGUGGGGCCAGAAGGCCCCAGACAGGGGAUGGAGGGCUCGGAGGUGCAGGGGGUGGUGGCAGUCCUGCAGCAAAGGGUCCAUGGAGGAAGGCCCGGGUGUAGAGACGUGGGGCCGACUCCCCGCAAGGCCAGCGCCUCUCACCUCCUCCCCCUUGAACUCCCGUGCAGGCGAGAUGGCCGCGCUCAGACAGCAGCUCCAGGACACUCAGCGGGAGAGAGACCAGCACCUGCAGGAGGUCCGGGAGCUGCGAAGACAGCUCUCAAGGAACAGCUCCGGUGGGGCCGGUCUCAGGCUGCACAGCCUGGGCCUGCUGGCUCUGCCCCUCGCCGCGGCCCUGCUCUGCUGAGAGCAGCGGGAGCAGUGUCCAGGUCUGGGCAGGCAGCAGGAGCCCGUCCCGCUCCCGGGUCAGCAGUGCAAACGUGGGCUCGACCCCUGCCCGCCCCCCUGUGCCGGGCAGCCCCGUGGGACCCGGCCUGAGCUGCUCGCGCACUGCAGACCCGCCCGUGCGUGCUCUUGGACCGCGCGCGGAGCUGGCUCCUGCCCCCGUGGAAGCCCCCGGCACACCGCGUGCGGCGCGUGGACCCCGACGGGGCAACAAGGCCGAGGAGGGAGCCGCAC